AUUCAUACACAAUACUACACCAUUUCUAUGUGUUUAUUACUCGAGGAUUAUUACAGACUUCUUACAACAUAUGAUGGAGAAUAUGUAAAUAUUUGCAUCACAUUUCAAGGUACACCUGGAUUGGUCAUUAUUUCUGAACAUAAUAGCUUUUAUAUAAAUGGAUAUAUAUUGACUUUUUACAGACAAUUGUAUAGCAUUCAUUUACAUUUCAUGGUGAACUGAAGUCUAUAUAUAUUACAUUGUUUUGGACUUAUUUUCCAAUAUCAACUAUUUAUUGAAGUCUUUGACAUUUACUCCGAAGAUCAGAAACUAUAACUCUUGGUUUCAUACAAUUUUCUUGUCUGCUACAUGUGUAUUUCAACGUAAUUAAGAUAUAUAGAGGAUAAAAGUUUUAUUUUAGCAGUGAUUGGAAGCAGAAAACGUACAUGCAUUUAAGAUCUGUAUUCGUUGUAUACACAGCAGUAGAAACCUUAUAUGCAGUCUGAUAAACAAGUCUGUCUGAUUAAAAAAAAAUAUUCAUCAAAAUUGAAUGUUUUUCAAAUCUUCAUUUUGAUGCGAUUGAAUGUGCGAUGGUAUAAGAUUUCUUUCUGAAAAGUGAAUUGUUAGUAAAUGGAUUAUUUAUAGUGCUCUGAAGUACUCCGACUUAAUAAACUAUAAAUGAUGUCGUCAAAUGGAGGAUUUUUAAACUUUAAAUGUAAGUAGAUGACUAGUAAGGAUAAAUAUCAGUUUAAGCCUCUGAGUAAGGUUUGAUAUUCAUGAUAUGUAGCAUCAUGUAAAUAUAGAUGUAAUUAACAAUUUAUACAUAAUAAGUAAUAUGGUGUAGGAGAAGGUCAAAUGCAGACUAGUGCCAUGAAUUAUCAUUUAUCAUGUUUAAAUUCUAGUUGUCAGGUAUAUAUCAUAACAGCACAUAUGAUGUAAAAAAUAAAUAGUUUUUAGAUACAUUUUUGUGAAAUAUUCCUAGUUUAAAAGAGUAAAUUUACUUGAAAUAAUGAUAUUUUUUUAUGCAUUUUGAUUAAAUUUUCAAUUAUUAAAGAAUAAAAUGUUAAGUUAGAUAUUCCACGUUAUUUUAUAAUUAGUGUCCCUUAUGUUUUCCAAGUAUAUUGGUUCUGUUAGCAAUCAGUAUUUUCUGGAGGGAUCUGAGCUUUGAAAAAAUGGAACAAUUCCGCUACAUUUUAUAUUAAUGUUUAUUUCUAAUCUAGCAUAAAACAUUCUGACUUUCAAAUAACACAUUGCUUGAUAAAUUGUAGCAGUUAUUCUGAGUAUUAAUUUUCUUUCUAUGACUGCAGAGCUUAUUUUAAGUGAGUGAUUAUGUUAUUAGAGUGUGAAACAAUUCAGUCAAUGUAUUCAGGAUGCAGUACUUUUAUAUGUAGUGAUUCAUUGAUCAGAAUUGUUUACCAUUGUUGAUCGUAACUCUUGGGUAUUUUAAUAUGAAUAAACUAUAGAAAGAUACACACAGAUACAGGUAUUGUCAGGUGAAAACCAGAGUUAAACUUAUAGAUAUUGCUCUAUUUUAUUAAAAAAACCUUUUAGUUGUUAGCCAUCACUUGAAUUGUGUCGUUGUGUAAUGUCUAUUUUUUUAUUUCUAACUUUAAACAUGUUAUACAAAAUUUAAAAAAAAAACAAAGAAAAAAACCAACUGGACCAAUAUUCGUGAAUAAACACCAAACUGAGGGGGUCUUGUUUAUAAAAUUACAUUGAUAUGCUUGCUGAAUUGCUAAAAUUGCCAUUGUUAUUAAGUUAAAAAACUUUAAAUAUUCAAAGUCAUGCUGUGUUAAUACAUUUGGAGGCUGAUACCCUGAAUAUAGCUUAUGAGAUCUGAGAAUAUCAUGUAAUUGAGACAGCAAUCCUAUUUUAAUACAUUGAGAUACCAUUCAUAAUCUUAGUCAGUGGAAAAACACUACAGGUAUUUAAAUCAUGCUAUCUUAUACUUAUAUGUGGCUAUAAUUGGAAAUAGAUAAUAGAAAAGUUGCAUUGUUUGUCAUACAUUUUUGUUAUUCAAGAAUUCUGAUAUUAAGGUCCAAAAAAAACCAACAGCAAUCACUUUUAUCAUGUUUAGCAUUUGACUUGUCAUGCUUGUAUGUACAUCAACAUUUAUCCAAAAGACCAUUUUAUAAGUUAAUAUUUUUUUUUAUUGAUAAGAUUAUGGGUAGUGUUGUACACAUAAUAGAUAAGAAAUAGCUGUCAUGUAAUUUUAAGAUGGAAAUUUGUUCAUAAAUCACUUUUCACGCUAGUGAGCUACAGCAAGUGAGAAGAAAUAGGCUUUUUAAGAGGACCAGAUUUGUAAUGUCAAGUGACACACAUUAUACAUGUUAUAAGAUAACCAUGUAUACUACAUGUAUUAUGAAAAAAAAUGACUGUCAGUAGCAAAAAAAAACCCAAUUCAGAACAAUCAACCCUUUCUGAAUCCAAAAAGCUUCUAACAUUCUAAACAUUGGAGUUUGCUGAUAGUUAUUAACUUGAGUAAACAAGUCACAAUUACUGUCUUAAGAAAAGUGCACAUACAGAAACAUUCUUUCAGAAGGCUUCUGGAUUAUUCACCAUCUUAAAAUAGAUAUGAUGCUUCUUCAUGAAAGAAAAUAUCUCGUGAAUUUAAUCAUAAAAUUCAAUGGUUCUAUUUUUUACCCAUUCAAUAGAUUUUCAAGAAAAGUUUUUUUAGACAAUUUUUUUUUUAUAUAUGUAUGACAAAAUGAUAUUUGUAUAGUAUUAAGCAACACAUAAAAUUGUAUUGAUAGUAAUCAAAGUUGUCACACACUUAGCCACAAUACCAAUUAGUCAGAUUAAAGUACAUGUAUGUAGAUAACUAUUGUGUCCUCUGACAAUCAAGUUCUAGUUACACGUAGGGAUCAUGUUAUGUCUUAUUGUCAUAUCCUUCAUUCCAAGUACAUGAAGACUCCUAAAGAAAUCUGACAUAAUUCACCAAACUACAUAUUUUUCUACAGGACCUAAGUUUUUGCACCUGCUAAUUUAGUUCUUGAUUGGAGUGUUUUGUUGGGUUUCCAAUAACAAUAUAUUCAGUUAGCACUGUCUGUUUGUGUCAUAUUAGCAGCUACACUCACAUCUUCAUAAUGGAAGACUUACUUAAAAAAAAGAUAUAUGAUAAUUGAAAUAGGUAAAUUAGUCUAUUUUUUGCAAAUACUUCUUGAAGGCAGUUCAACAACUUACUACACUCAAAGUCCCACACUCAUACAUCCAUUUGUCUGAAGUAAUACAUGAAAAGAAAAGUCAGUGAAUUACAUGUAAAUAUUUAUCACAACUGCCCUGUAGCUAUGUUGUAAUUAGGUAAAUAGUGUAAUUAUCCUUUUCUUCCCAGAUAUAAACUCAUUGUAGACACAUUAUUUAUAAAUAUACCAUGUACAUCAUAGAAGAAGAUAUUGUUCAUCUUGAGCAUAAAAACAAAAAGAAAGGCAUACAUUUUGACACCAUUAUUCAUUACAUUAAGUAUUUAACUGUACAUCUAGGGUAAUCUAGGUUAAGUACUGGGAAAGAGUGGGGAUCAAGAAGCUUUCCACAUUUUAUAUUAUUUGGCAAUGCUCUUCUGAAACAACAGAAUGCUGUUUGGCUCUUAAUGUGUAGAGAAGUCAUAAGAUUUCCUGACAUCCUGAGAAGCAAAUGACCUAAAUAUGAAUGAUGAAUUAUAUAUUAACUGGAAAAUGAAAAUCAUUUAAGCACGUCAUAGUAAGUAUUACUGAUGUGUCUCUGAAUGGUUUGUAAUUGGUAUUGUGUAUGACAAAAGUUGUAUAAGGCUGAUACCAUUUUAAAAUAUGUACUCAAUCAGCUGUGGGACAGGUAACAAAGUACUCCAGAAGCUCAUUGUACUCUGCCAAAGGUUCCAUGAUACAUUCCUUGUAUUGGAUCCAUACAAGUUUUGAAAUAUACUUUUUCAAGAGGUUCAAGAUCAAUUUUCUCAUUACUGCACAAAGAUUUCUUAUAGCUUAUUAUGAUUUAGAAAUAUAAGAGGUAUUGAACAUUACUUAAUAAACUUUAAAUCAUGUGUGUGCUUAAAGAGUACUGGGUAUUGGAUCGACUGCCAGGUUCAAACUGUAAUAGUUCUGAAUUAUGACAAAACAGUUGGAUUUGUGAUAGCUGUUCACUAUGGAUUAUAAAGUGAAAUGUUUUGGUCUUUACAAAGGCGGAUUUAGGGGAGGGGGGCCCUCUUUUGUCAGAAAAGUUGAUUAUAUUGGGAAUCACUGAAGCAUGACUUGAACGGGCCCCUCUUAGGCAGUCAAGGGCCCCAACUUAGGAAAAUUUCUUGAUCAGCUACUGUCUUAUGUGUAGUUGGUUUCAAGGGGGUGAAGUCAUGAAACUUUUCUCAGUGCUCGGAGCACAAAAAUCAUGCUUGAAACACAAAAUACAGUAUUCUGAUUGGUUGAUUCUUGAGUCUGAGUACAAAAAUCAUGCUUGAAAGUUUUAUGACCACAAGACCAGGUAUUCUAGCACUCUUGAUCCAAGUUUCUGCACAACUUCACCUAUUGACUUUUGGGAGAAUAAUUUUGGUAACUUGUUUCUCUAAGUUAAAGAUUACCUUGCAGUAAGAGUUUACCCCUUUCAUUGUGCAGUUUGAACCAUGGUUAGAACCAUGGUUAACCAUGGUCAACCAUGGUUGUAUGACCAUGGUUGACCAUGGUUUGACAAAAUUGUUAAUUGGCCGACCAUGGUUAACCAUGGUUUUAAUGACCAUGGUUGACCAUUGUUAGAACCAUGGUCAACCAUGGUAGGAACCAUGGUCAACCGUGGUUCCAACCAUGGUCAACCGUGGUUCCAACCAUGGUCAACCGUGGUCCCAACCAUGGUCAACCGUGGUUCCAACCAUGGUCAACCAUGGUUAUUAAUGAGUCAACCAUGGUCAACCAUCUCCAUUAAACCAUGGUUGGCCAUUUUACAUUCUUGUCAAAUCAAUCUUCAAUUAUCUUGAAACAGUUAGUCUACUUGUUAUGGAGCCUGUAUACUUCUCUUCCUUUUUGUGUCAGGACUACCAACAAAUGCUAAAUUGCAUGAAACUCUUUAAAGCUACCCUUGCAGAAAUGUUCAUCCAUAAAAUGCAAAGCAGUUUCCACCUGCAAGAACAUAAAAUUUUCCACAAAGAAUCAAUUGUUCUUGAUAAUUUGUAUACAAUAACAGAUUUUAAGGAUCAAAAAUGUUUUAUCUUCUUUUGCAAAUUUUCAAUAAUAAAAACACCCAACAAAAUAAACAUUAUGAACAUGUUUUUGUUUAAACAAAUAAUUGUAACCCCCCCCCCCCCUUUUUUUUUGGUUUACCUUUCAAACAAAAGAAUGAUUGUGUAAAUUAUUUUUACCAUUGACAAAAUUUUCAUAUUGUACAGUUUUAUCAGUUACACCUGGAAUUAAAAACAAUUAAAUAUAAAAUUUAUGUUGAUAUGGAUAACUGACACUGACAAAAAAAUUUAAAGACCCAUUUCAGGUGGCAUGUGUUCAAUUAAUGAAAGCCAAAUCAAAUACUGUAACAAUUUUUACAUCUUUUAAACAAAAUAUCAAACAGAUUUCCUGUGAAUGUACUUAUCUGAUAACAAAUCUUCUUUACGUGACAACACUGGACAUCAAAUCCUUCACUUGAUUUUUAAAGCGCGAAAUAACUUUACUGAGAUCACGUGACGUUUGUUCCAAGUCAUUUAAAUGUUUCGCACUGAGUGAAUCAUUGUUAACGGUUGGUGAUAAUAAUUGAUCAUGACGUCGCAUGUGUUUCCGGUUGGGGAAUAAACAUAAACAAUAAAGACUAAAGAUAUCACUCUGAAAUGUUUUCAAGUUCUUAAAAUAUGCCGUAUAAUGAUAAAGAAAGGCAGAUUUAUGAACUUGGAGAGAAAGUCAGAAAUUACGUCUUUGGAAGAAAGAAAUACAUCGUUAAAUGACAGCGUACAACUGUUAAAAAACAAGGAAUACUGAUCGAAAGUAAGUUCCAACUUCCAGUUUGUAAAAGUUUGUAAGUCCCAAAUUUGACCCGACUGUAACUAGCAUUCUCUGCCACUAUAGCUUUACUGCUCAGUUUAUGUGUGUUUUAAAAUGUAUAGAGAAUAUAUUGUUAUUGAAAUAAUCAUGAAAGGUCACAAUUUACCUCUUGGGAAGAAAGAAAUUAAAAAUUGUCAAUAACAUUGUACCACUGAAAAAAGCAGCACGAUUUUUUAAUAUUGAAAGUCUCAAAGUAAUUUACAAUUUGUUAUAAAUUCCCAUGGGUAUAAUCCAGAUCAAUAUUUAUUCACCAUGGUCCAGGUUGUCAAGUUGACCAUGGUCAGGUGCAAGACCAUGGUUGUCAAAUUGACCAUGGUUGAUUAGACCAUGGUCAACCAUGGUCAGAUGUUUACCAUGGUCACAAACGUGGAAAACCAUGGUUAACCAUGGUUAAAUAGAGCAUGGUCAACCAUGGUCAGAUGUUGACCAUGGUCACAAUCAUGGUUAACCAUGGUUAACCAUGGUUUUCAGCACAGUCAACCAUGGUUUGACCAUGGUUAUCAAUGGUUAGCGAUGGUAACCAUGGUCAACCAUGGUUGCAUUUUGACAGGGGUAUGGGGUAUUUGGAGGGCCUGUUGCAGGACAAAAUAUUUGCUGCUUUUACAAAUACCCUCUUUUUCAAGUGGUAGUUCAUAUUUCCUGCUGUCCAUUCUGGUUGACCUACUUUUUAGGAACUAUUUUGACAGUUUUUGAUAUGCAUGUGAUAUUUGUCACUGGAGACUGGACUGUUACAUGAUAAUUGUUAAGCACCCUUUGAAUUCUGUUUUUGUGGUUAAAAUAUAAUAUAUGUACAUAAACAAGUACAUGUAGUACCAAAAGUAGACAACCCGACUAUGCUGAAAUUAGAGUGGUCAUUAAAAACCCCCAGAAUAAUUCAAAUCUUAUAGGUAAAAAUAAUGGUUUUAGUCCUGAUGAAUAACAAGUAGUUACUUAUUUUCUGUAUCAUCUGUAUGGGACCCAAAUCAUAAUUAAAAGAUUUUAGUACCUCUAUUAUGAAACCUUGAAAUUUUAAAGCAUUUGUUCAAAAUUCAAUGUCAACAACAUUUUACUCUAUAGAGCUCUUAGCUAUAUUUAUCAUUCAUAGAAAUUAAUUACAUUUUGACGAUAAUUUUUAUUUAUAGGAUUUUUACUAUAAUCCUCUCUGUGUUAAGUAUGGCGACAUAUUGCGUUAAGUUUAAUAUAAUGUGCAGUAUAGUCUGAUCUUUCUGAAUAAAUCACAUAUAAAAGAAUAAUCACAUUUCUUAGUGGCAGGGAACGAAUACAUCUGUAGUUAUGAAAUGUCAAUUGUGACGUCAUUAAAUCGUUAGACUUUUCAGGUUUAGUGAACCGUACAUGUUAUAUUAAGUUUGUUUUCUUAUAAGAUUUCCAAUUAUUAUAAGCUAGUUAUUUUUAUACUGCAACCUUGAGAUUGAUUCUUUUCUGGGACUACAAAGGUCAACGCUCUGUGUAAACAUACUCAAGGACUUCCAUUAAUACCCGAUAUUGAAAAGUUCGUCAGGGGAUUUGACAUAAAAAAAGCUUGUUGAUAAUUACAAUGUUGAACAGACAUGAAUUAUAAGUUAUUAAACAUGUGGCUGGCGGGGGAUUAGAAUGGCAAAAAAUAGAACCUUUGAUUAACAACAAUUAUAAAUCUUUCAGUUAAUAGUUCCAUGAUAAUCUAAGAUAAUCAUGAUAAUAUCUUAGUAUUUUGAUGUUCUUAAAUUGUGUUUAAGAUAAAUUGAAGAAAAAUCAGUUUAUAAACUUGUCAUAGGCUUUAUUUGGAAAUAAAAAUUCUUUUUUUUUCUGCUGAUUGUUUGGAUGCAUUAUUUUACUGUAUUGGUCAUUUGACACUAGAGUUUGAUUUCAAUCUACUGUUUGGGUUUAAGGUUGGCUAUUUGGGGUGUUCAGUUUUAGGUUUAGGGUAAGGGUUACAGUCAGGUAUGGGUUAAGGUAGGUCUAUAGUAAAGCUCUUUAUGAUUUGGGACCCCUAAAGAUAAUGAAGGCUGUUAAGGUAGGUCUAGUAAAGCUCUUUAUGAUUUGGAACCCCUAAAGAUAAUGAAGUCUGUUAAGGUAGGUCUUGUAAAGCUCUUUAUGAUUUGGGACCCCUAAAGAUAAUGAAGGCUGUUUAGGUAGGUCUAGUAAAGCUCUUUAUGAUUUGGGACCCCUAAAGAUAAUGAAGGCUGUUAAUGUAGGUCUAGUAAAGCUCUUUAUGAUUUGGGACCCUAAAGAUAAUGAAGGCUGUUUAGGUAGGUCUAGUAAAGCUCUUUAUGAUUUGGGACCCCUAAAGAUAAUGAAGGCUGUUAAUGGUAGGUCUAGUAAAGCUCUUUAUGAUUUGGGACCCCUAAAGAUAAUGAAGGCUGUUAAGGUAGGUCUAGUAAAGCUCUUUAUGAUUUGAGACCCCUAAAGAUAAUGAAGGCUGUUUUAGGUAGGUCUUGUAAAGCUCUUUAUGAUUUGGGACCCUAAAGAUAAUGAAGGCUGUUAAUGUAGGUCUAGUAAAGCUCUUUAGAUUUGGGACCCUAAAGAUAAUGAAGGCUGUUAAGGUAGGUCUAGUAAAGCUCUUUAUGAUUUGAGACCCCUAAAGAUAAUGAAGGCUGUUUAGGUAGGUCUUGUAAAGCUCUUUAUGAUUUGGGACCCCUAAAGAUAAUGAAGGCUGUUUAGGUAGGUCUAGUAAAGCUCUUUAUGAUUUGGGACCCCUAAAGAUAAUGAAGGCUGUUAAUGUAGGUCUAGUAAAGCUCUUUAUGAUUUGGGACCCUAAAGAUAAUGAAGGCUGUUAAGGUAGGUCUAGUAAAGCUCUUUAUGAUUUGAGACCCCUAAAGAUAAUGAAGGCUGUUUAGGUAGGUCUUGUAAAGCUCUUUAUGAUUUGGGACCACUAAAGAUAAUGAAGGCUGUUAAGGUAGGUCUAGUAAAGCUCUUUAUGAUUUGGGACCACUUAAAAGAUAAUGAAGGCUGUUAAUGCUACAUGAAAUUUUCAAAAAAAUAUCUGGUGAGUCUUUGAAGCAAGAUAAUAACUUUUUUUAUAUUAGAGUUCUAAAAUUAACAAUCAGAUAGAUUUAUCAAACUUGAAUAAAAUUAGAUGGUAUAAAAACAUGUACUAAAUUAGUUAGAAGAGUGGAAUAUUUUGGCAACUUUUGUAAAUUUUGGCAAAAACAAGGUGUUUGAUAUAAUGUUUUUACCAGUUUCUGUUGGGUUGUCUGUGUAUACAUAUAGAUCUCUGUGCUAUAAAUAGCUGUAGUAUUUUGUAUGAUAGUCUGUAAUCAUUAAGCCAGAAGUGUUAAUGAGAAUUUUUUAGGACUGCUUCCUUGUGGAAGGUGAUUUGACUGACGUCACAGGAGACUUGACAGAGGUCAAACUACAACACACAUACUCUGACCUCCUGUGGUAUUCAUCUUGGAAUGUUAAUUAUAGUCUAGAAAGUUCAAUACUUCUUAACCAAUUGUCUUACUUUUUGGUAUCCUAAAAUAAGAUGUUUGUGGCUAAAAACAGUUCUGUUAGUAUCAAAAUAACAGUCAAGUGAAUUGUUAUGAUAAGUCAGUUUUGAUGCUUGAUGCAUGUUUAAUUAGCAUUUGGACACAUUUAAUAGUAGUUAGACAGACACUGCUGUUUAUACACUUUUCAGAGGUACUAUUCUUAUCCUUUUCAGAGGUAAGAAGUGUCAAAUGAUUUUAUACUUGAUUUUAGUAAUAUUUGGUUCUGCUUCAGAAGAUAGCAUUAAUGUAUGCAUUUCCUUAAUAGAGAAAGUUAUGUCAGUAGAUGAUAGUCAUAUUGUCUUUUAAACAGCAACUCAGGUGAACAUGCAUUUCUUAGAAGGUUAUAAGAUCGUAGUGCUGUUGCUAACAUUUGGCAUCAAGUGUCAUUGUUCCUGGCCUAUCAAGCUUAGAAAGUAUGGCCUGGCUACCAAAAUUGCCUGUAUGGUAAAAAAUAAAACAAAGGUAACAUGUCUGCCUGUAGACUUGUCAGAGGCGGAUUUAGAGGGGCCCAGGGGGCCUGGGCCCCCCCCCCCCUUUUUUGGGAAAAAAUUUGGUUGCUUAUAUAGGGAAUCAUUGAAGCGUGACUGGAGCGGGCCCCCUCUUAGGUCAGUCAGUGGGCCCCACUUAUGAAAAAUUCUGGAUCCGCCACUGCUUGUUAUCUAGCAAAUUGAAAAGUCCAGCUGAGUGUCAAUCUAGUUAACAUCUGGAUUUAUUCUCAGAUCACAUGAAACAUUUUCCUUUUCUGUAAUAUGAGCCACUGGACAUUAAACACCAAUACUUCCAUUCUUAAUUAAUAUUUUCCAGGGUUACUUAUUUGACAUUGUGAUUUCAUUCAAGUUUAUAGAAUUUUCAUCCUGUUCCACAACAUAUCUCAAAAUAACAAAAACAUUAGAAAAUGUAGAACUAUAUGGACUCCCCUUAAAUAUUAACCUUUUAUCACAAAGUUUUUGAUAUAAAGAUAGAGCUCAUUAAAUGUUAUGCAAACAAGUAUAUUUGUGGAUACCAAAAUAGAUAUAGAUUUAAGGGGUUGACCUAUUAGUGUUCUAAAAUAGACUAAUGAUAUGCCAAUGUAAACAUGAUAAGUCAGAACAUGGUUACAUUGUAGUGGUGAGCCACAUUUGUACUUUAAUGUUUGGAAAUGGUAUGUUGAUCUUAUAGUGAUAGAAGAUUUUAGUGAUAAUAAUGUGAACAUCAAGAUUAGGUAAUGCAUUUUGUUUUCCUUAUGUUUUGUAUUGUAAUAUUUAAACGUGGAAAGUUUUUUUAGCAAGGGGAUAUUAUUGAAAUCAGUAAAUUGUUGAGGUUUAUAGUAUUUGGUUUUCACAUAACAAAAUUGUGACUUUUAUUUGUUAUAGGGCAGGCGAAUGGAGAUAUGCAGCAUCAUAUUCCUUUUCUCUUAGAUCCUUUAACAGAAAUCAACCAUGAACGGAAAUGUUUUGUUACUUUUGUCUAUUUUAUAUGCAUAAGUAUCUUAUUCUUCAUUUAACUCUCAUAUUUUAUAAGGGAAAGUAUUGCUUAAUCUCCUAUAUGUUUGAGCAGAAAAUAGCCUGAGGUUCAUCAAUGGUGUUGUGUUGAGGGGGCCUUGGUGGCAGAGUGGUCUAAGUAGUUACUACUGUAAUCACUAGCCAGUCAACACUGAGGUUGUGAGUUUAAACCCUGCUUGUGAGGGUGCACUGGACUCCAGUCUUAAUUGACUACGAUUGUCAGUUUUCCUAUCAAAGGUCAGUGGUUUUCUCCAAGCACUCCGGCCUCCUCCACCAAUAAAAACUGGCCACCAGGAAAUAGCCUAAAUGCGGUGCUUAAAAGUGGCAUUAAAACACCAAAAAUCAAAAAUCAAAUCAAUGGUGUUGGGGAUUCAUUUCUUCAAUAUUUGCAGCAUGGCCUAUUUCACCACAAAAUGCUAGACAAUUCAACCUUAUUCAACAAACCCAUUGACGAUACAAAUUUUUUAAGCAGGUAUAUAUGAAGAAAUAUUCAAUAAAACAUAAUUUAAUUUAAACUCAGUUUGAUUAUAAGAAUAAAUCACAUCUUUUAUUUUUGUAAAAUGAGUAAUAGGUUUUACGCUGUAGUAAAAGUACAAAUAAUUCAAUUCUGAAAUUUAAAAUGAAGAGAAAUCUAAAAUAAACCCAGCUAAUUAGAUAAUUUGGUCAUGCAUAAUGAAAAUUGCCAACAGUAAUUUAAUAGGAGUAAAUAAUUCCAGUUGUCUAGAAGGCUUGUGGAGGAUAUGCUCCAUUGUCCAUGAUUCAUUGCAUAGUUUGAUUGAUGUAGUCUGUAUUUGUUUAUCCAAAUGAAAAAGUAAUACUAAGUUCCAUAUCCUUUUAUGCUUCAAGUACACAGGACACUUAAGGUGUUGUAAUUUUCUUUAUAGGCCUACUAAAUAAAGAAAUGAUUUAACAUUUUAGAUAUUUAUAUUUAGUAUUGGAAGACAACAGGAUGCCAUCUAAAUCAAAAUAGAAUAGUACCCCACACAAAGCAUGCUGGUAUUGAUCUUUUAGUAAUUCUGUAAUGAACAACUAUAAAUAACUUGCUCUGAUAACAGUAAAAGGAUCCAAUUAUAUCAUAGAGAAUUAAUAAAAAUAUCCCUACUGUAAAAAACUUGUUUUGUUCCUUGCAAGAUUAUUAUUGAUGAAUUCGUGAUUUAAUGGGCUUGUUUUUAGAAUAUUGUUGAUACUUGAGGAUUAUAAAUAGAUUUGGCAAUAUUUGAUAGGAAUUUUUGGAAUUUUUCUGUAGUUUUCAUGUGUUGACUUCAGCUAGCUAUAGGUUCUAUUUGUAGAAUCAUCAUGUUUAGAAACAGGAUAAUAGAAGUCAUGCAGUAUCUUUUGCACUUAUUAACCUAUUUUAAAAAAUUGCUUGAUUAAAAUUAAGAUUUAAAUAAGAUUUGUUUUGUCAUAUAAAUUGAAAUUCAAUCAAAUGUGUUUACUUUUUAUACGACCGCAAAAUUUGAAAAUUUUUUCGUCGUAUAUUGCUAUCACGUUGGCGUCGUCUGCGUCGUCGUCUGCGUCGUCGUCGUCAUCGUCGUCGGCGUCGUCGUCGUCCGAAUACUUUUAGUUUUCGCACUCUAACUUUAGUAAAAGUGAAUAGAAAUCUAUGAAAUUUUAACACAAGGUUUAUGACCACAAAAGGGAAGGUUGGGAUUGAUUUGGGAGUUUUAGUCCCAACAUUUUAGGAAUUAGGGGCCAAAAAGGGCCCAAAUAAGCAUUUUCUUGGUUUUCGCACUAUAACUUUAGUUUAAGUAAAUAGAAAUCUAUGAAAUUUUGACAUAAGGUUUAUGACCACAAAAGAAAGGUUGGGAUUGAUUUUGGGAGUUUUGGUUCCAACAGUAUAGGAAUUAGGGGCCAAAAAAGGGCCCAAAUAAGCAUUAUUCUUGGUUUUCGCACAAUAACUUUAGUUUAAGUAAAUAGAAAUCAAUGAAAUUUUAACACAAGGUUUAUGACCACAAAAGGAAGGUUGGGAUUGAUUUUUGGAGUUGAGGUCACAACAGUUUAUGAACUAGGGGCCAAAAAGGGGCCCAAAUAAGCAUUAUUUUUGGUUUUUGCACCAUAACUUUAGUAUAAGUAAAUAGAAAUCUAUGAAAUUUAAACACAAGGUUUAUGACCAUAAAAGGAAGGUUGGGUUUGAUUUUGGGAGUUUUGGUCCUUACAGUUUAGGAAUAAGGGGCCCAAAGGGUCCAAAAUUGAACUUUGUGUGAUUUCAUCAAAAAUUGAAUAAUUAGGGUUCUUUGAUAUGCCGAAUCUAACUAUGUAUGUAGAUUCUUAAAUUUGGUUCCCGUUUUCAAAUUGGUCUACAUUAAGAUCCAAAGGGUCCAAAAUUAAACUUAGUUUGAUUUUAACAAAAAUUGAAUCCUUGGGGUUCUUUGAUAUGCUGAAUUUAAAAAUGUACUUAGAUUUUUAAUUAUUGUCCUAGUUUUCAAGUUGGUCCAAAUGGGGGUCCAAAAUUAAACUUUGUUUGAUUUCAUCAAAAAUUGAAUAAAUGGGUUCUUUGAUAUGCCAAAUCUAACUGUGUAUGUAGAUUCUUAAUUUUUGGUCCAGUUUUCAAAUUGGUCUACAUUAAGGUCCAAAGGGUCCAAAAUUAAACUAAGUUUGAUUUUAACAAAAAUAAAAUUCUUGGGCUUAUUUGAUAUGCUUUAUCUAAAUAUGUACUUUGAUUUUUGAUUAUGGGCCCAGUUUUCAAGUUGGUCCAAAUCAGGAUUCCAUAUCAAGUAUUGUGCAAUAGCAAGAAAUUUUCAAUUGCACAGUAUUGCACAAUAGCAAGAAAUAUCUAAUUGCACAAUAUUGUGCAAUAGCAAUUAAUUUUCAAUUGAGUUAUCUUUCUUUGUAUAGAAUAGUAGUUGAUAAUAUAUGUUGGAAAUUUGCCAGACAUGACUAUGAUGUCAUUUUCUAUUUUUAUUUCUAUUUUUAUUUGCCAAUAACUUUAUGUAAAUAACUUCAUUGGAAAUUUGCCAAUAUAAAAUGUUGCUGAUGAAGCUGUUUUUCCUUAUCUUAUCUAAAAUGUUUUUAGAUAAUGUAUGUUGGACAUUUGCCAGACAUGACUAUGAUGUCAUUUUCUAUUUUUAUUUGCCAAUAACUUUAUGUAAAUAACUUCAUUGGAAAUUUGCCAAUAUAAAAUGUUGCUGAUGAAGUUUUUUUUAUUGUUUAUACAAUAAACAAUGUAUAUUCACUUUUACUACAACCAAUCUUUACCAUUUCAGUGAUAACAAGCACUUUAUUUUUUUUUACAUUUUAAUAUUUUAUGAUGUAUUUAAAAGAGUAGUUAUUGUUGGAAACUCCAUUAGAAAUUUGACUUGAUAUCAGUUUUGGAAAAAAGGGAAACGGGGAUGUGAAAAAAGGGGGGGGGGUAAAUUUUUCUCAUUUCAGAUUUCAUAAAUAAAAAGAAAAUUUCUUCAAACAUUUUUUUGAGAGGAUUAAUAUUCAACAGCAUAGUGAAUUGCUAAAAGGCAAAAACAAACUUUUAAGUUCAUUAGACCACAUUCAUUCUGUGUCAGAAACCUAUGCUGUGUCAACUAUUUAAUUUUAGAUUUAAAAAGUUUGAAGAAGAAAUCUUUAAUUGUAAAAUUUGUAAAAUCUUGACAUUUGUUUUGUGUAAAAAAACACCAUGUAAUGUCAAAAAUUUGAUCACAAUCCAAAUUCAGAGCUGUAUCACGCUUGAAUGUUUUGUCCAUACUUGCCCCAACUGUUCAGGGUUCGACCUCUGCGGUCGUAUAAAGCUGCGCCCUGCGGAGCACCUGGUUAAUUUUGAUGUAAAGACUGGGGGUAGGGAUUAGAACACAACACAACAGUAUACAAUACACCUUUUGUCCUAAGCUGGGAAAAAUUGUGACGGUUCAGACUAUCAUAACACUAACCAUGCUAGAUUGUGUAGAUUUUCAUUUUGUACUAGCCAAAUUAUUUUUUGUUUAUACAUGUAUGAUACAGGAGUCAGUUUCACCAAAAAAAUUACGACUAAGAUUUGUCUUAAGUAUACUGAAUUGUUUAUGACUUACGAUCAAUCUUAAUCGUAAGUGUUUUUGUGAAACCGACCCCAGAUUUUGAUACCUUUCAGAAAAAGUUUCAAGCUCAUAUUUUCUUUUGUAAUAAACAAAAAUUUAUAUAUUUUGAAAAAGAGAUUUUUGUCUUGCCUAGACAGAGUCAAAAAGCAAGACUAAAGGUACGCUGUUCCUGCAUCAGUGUCAAUAGAUAUAUAAAGAAGAUUUGAUAUGAGUGCUCAGAAUGAGACAAAUUUCCAUCCAAGUCACAAUUUGUAAUAGUAAACCAACAUUACGGUCCUCAACACAGAGCCUAAAUUUAAGGCUCACACCAAACAACAAGCUAUAAAGGACCCCAGAAGUGACUAGUGUAAAACCAUACAAAUAUGAACAACAACAUUCUAAUCUAUAUAAAAAAACGAAACGAGAAACACUUAUGAACCACAUCAAUAAACAACAAACUCUGAACAACAGGUUCCUGUAAGCAUGAGUUAGGGAUUAGGUCAAUUUACAGUGGCAGUACAGUACCACAGUAUUAAAUCUGAUCAGAAUAUUGUGUAAAAAGGUGUUUAAUAAAUGGCAUCCAUUUCCACCUGAUUCUUUUUUAUUUUCAGAUCCAUUGGUACCUCAUGAAUCCACGAUGGAAAUCAACAAUCAUUUUGCACAUAUUAGCAGAAAACCAGGUAU
rnacentral:lncRNA from 1 species